rnacentral:misc_RNA from 1 species
GAACUGCGAUACGUAAUGUGACUUGCAGAAUCUCGUGAAUCAUCAAAUCUUUGAACGCAAAUGGCGCUCCUGCGCAAGGAGCACGCCUGUCUGAGUAUCAUGAACCCCCCUCUCUCCCCCCUCGCGGGGGGGCGGCUGCGGGCCUCACGCAGGUUGCCUGCGCGUCCCGUGAAACCCACCACAAACCCUUGGAGGGAUGUGAGCCAAGCGGCCGUAAUUUCAAAACCUACCCCGCCUUGCCCCUCACCCCCACCUAUUUAUCUGUGAUCUCAGAUCAGGCGAGACGACCCGCUGAACUUAA